CACGUAAGGGGCAAGCGUUGUUCGGAUUUAUUGGGCGUAAAGGGCGCGUAGGCGGUUUUGCAAGCCUGAUGUGAAAGCCUGGGGCUCAACCCCGGAACUGCAUUGGGAACUGCGAGACUUGAAUCAUGGAAGGGAAACUAGAAUUCCAGGUGUAGGGGUGAAAUCUGUAGAUAUCUGGAAGAAUACCGGUGGCGAAGGCGAGUUUCUGGCCAAUGAUUGACGCUGAGGCGCGAAAGUGCGGGGAGCAAACAGG
rnacentral:rRNA from 1 species